rnacentral:misc_RNA from 1 species
GAUGAAGAACGUAGCGAAAUGCGAUACUUGGUGUGAAUUGCAGAAUCCCGUGAACCAUCGAGUCUUUGAACGCAAGUUGCGCCUCAAGCCAUUAGGUUGAGGGCACGUCUGCCUGGGCGUCACAUAUCGUUGCCUGAUGCCAGUUUCCUCGUGAUGGGUGACUGUGCAGGGCGAAUGAUGGCUUCCCGUGAGCAUUGUUGCCUCAUGGUUGUUGAAAAUUGAGUCCUUGGUAGGGAGCGCCGUGAUAGAUGGUGGUUGAGUGACGAACGAGACCCAAUCAUGUGAGACCCCUACCGAAUUUGGCCUUCAUGACCCACAUGCGUCUUUGGAACGCUCAUGACGAGACCUCAGGUCAGGCGGGGCUACCCGCUGAGUUUAAGCAUAUCAAUAAGCGGAGGA